UUAACUAUUGGUUUAAUUCCACCCUGAGUUGUGUAUGACUACCCUGCGA
rnacentral:rRNA from 1 species